rnacentral:lncRNA from 1 species
UUUUUUUUUUUUUUUUUUUUUUUGGAGGGGGGCAGGAAGGAUUGGUGAAGGUAAUCAGUUUUCGGACUUAAGAUAAAAAAUCGCAGCAAAGGGUCGACUUGACUCCUUAUAAUUAAUGGGGCGGCUUGUAAUAGGAUUCUCCUGCCUGUGGCGCUCCCAGGAAACACCUUUUUACAUAAGAUAUUGCCCACACCGGAGUGGCAGCGGGGUGAUUUAUGGGGUUCCUUGCUCCAGAAAACCUCUCCUGGGGUUGCCCAGCCAGUGGAAUUUAUCAGGGAGUUUGGAAGCCAGGCAAGAAACCUGCCCCUGACAUUUUUGGUGGAGUUUAAAAAAGCACAAACACUGGGGAAGGGAGAAGCCAAGGGGACGGAGACGAGACGGGGUGUGUGAGGGGGUCAGAUUAGUUGGGUUUUCCACAAGCAGAGCCUGAGAUAGGGGUUCCUGGCGUUCGGUUUAUCAAGGGAGGACUCAGAAGGGAGUGGGAGGGGACAGAAGGAGGGGAGGACUCACGUGGAAGUCAGGUCUCAGCCGGAUCCCACAGGGAGCCCUGCUCUGUGGAGGGGAUCCAGAGCUGUUCCCACCUUGAGGUGGCAUGAGAGCCUGCCUUUUCUCAUCAUCCCAUGCACCUCUGGACACAGCGGCCCCCAUUGGCUCUUCUCUGGAGAAAGAGGACAGCCCUGGGCUGUCAGCAGCCAUCACUCUCACUGAUCAGCUGCACCCACCUGACCCAGAUGCGAGUCAGUGGGCAGCAAUCGUGUCCACUGCAGAGGCAAAGGUUUCUCAGGAUACGAGAUGAAGAUCAAGGCUGGGGACAGAGCGGAGGGAGGCGGGAGGAAGGAUGUAGUCUCAUGCUCCGCUCUCUCCCUCAGGCUUAAAGGGAAAACCGGAGUCGGGACCACAGCCUGCAAGGCUCUCCAUGAUCUGGUGGCCCUUCCCUCCAUCUAUGACACUCCUUAGCUCUCUGUCCAUCUUCCACCAUCACCUACCUUUUCUCAGUCCCACUGGCCUCCUCAUAGCUUCCCACCUCAGGACCUUUGCACAUGCUGUUCUUUCUGCCCUUCCCCCAUAGGUCUCACAUGCUCCUUCAUUUCUUUCAGUCCUUAAUUCAAAUGUCACCUUUUCAAAGAGGACUUCUUUGACCAUCUAUCUCAACUAAUCAACAGAUGAAGGCACUUAAAUAGAAAAACCGGCUGUGGGACUGGAGCCUCCUGGUGUUCUCUGAACCUGUUCUUCCACUACAGAAUGGGAUCAAUAACCCCGACUUUAUGCAAAGAGCUUCAGUAAAUGCUCAGCCACUAUCCUGGUAGGGUGUUGGCAGGAUCAUUUAAGUUUUCCAGAAGUUGCUUCUUCAAAGCAGUCCAGGACUUCCCUGGUAGUGCAGUGGGUUAAGGAUCCAGCAUUGUCUCUGCUGUGGUUCAGGUCUCUGCUGGGGUGUGGAUUGGAUCCCUGGUCCUGGAACUUCUGCAUGUCUCAUAAGGGGCCAAAAAAAAAAAAAAAAAAAAAAAAAAAAAAAAAGCAGCCCAGUGGUUUGUUUAGGGACUUAGCGAGAUGUGCUACCUCAUUGGGUUCACCACCUGUCCAUCAUCACUGCUCAGCAAACCAGGUCCUGCAGGGGGCGGGCUGAGUGGUCCACGGCCUUCUUUCCUCCAUCGCGGAGCUAUUCUGGCUGUAAUUAGAAUCCAUGCCUGAGGGAUGGGGGGACCUGAGCUCUACCAUUUUAAUGGAGCUAAAGAAACCUCUCUGUGAGCUUCCAUUUCCUUAUGUGUAAGACAUAAGGAGUUCGCCCAGACACUGAGUAGUUGCUUGAUAAAGCCAUAGCAAUUAAAACAACAUGCCACCCCCAGGAAUACACAAGCAGAAAGAAUCCAGAGACACCUGCUCCCCCAAUAAAAGCCCAGAAGAGAUGAGACUUGCCUAAAACUGGGGUUCCCACCUCCGCCCUACUGACUUUUUGAGGCCCAGUUACUCCUUGGGGUGGAGGCUGUCCUGUGCAUUGGAGGGUGUUGGGCAGCAUUGCCAGGCCCCACCCACUAGUACCAGAGCACCUGCCCCCUAUUUGUAGCAAACAAACUUGCCUCCGGCCUUUGCCAAACAAUUCCCAGCUCAUAUCCUCAGAGCUGCUCUGAUUGGACAGUUUGGCUGCUGGGCCCGCCUUUGAACCAAUCGCCAUAGCCAGGCAAAAUACAGGGCUUAGAUUGGCUCAGGUUGGGGUCACACGCUCCUUCUCUCCUUUUCUGCAGGAGUUGUCAGAGCCUUUACAGAAAUAUGCAGGCAAACUGACUACGUAGCGUUUCCUAAAUAGCUUUGAAUUUGAGGCAGCGGUUAAAAAGGGGGGGGGGUUAGGGAAUCUGUUACACUGGGUCUGCAGUUGGAUGAACUUGAACAGUGGCCACCUCUUUUAGGUAGAAUAUGGCUCCAAUCCCCACCACUCCCUAAUGAGUACCCCUAACCGGCUUCAUUAUAUACCUCUAAGUUUGAUGCCCAGCUAGUGACUGGGUUGUAAGUCCCAAGUGCAGGAUUGUGGAGCACUACACACUUUGAGGGAAAUAAAAUAGCCUUCAAUGAAUUGCAAGUGUUCCCUCAUAAAUACACGAGUGCAUGCACCCUCCACAGACAUGCACGCAUGCCUCCAAGUACAUGAAUACCCAGGUGACUUGAGAUAGAAAGCCAGCCUGAGCCAUCGUGUCCCUGCCAUGAGGGUCAGAUACUUUCUGUGAGUCCUGGAGCAUGUACCCACCUUGCAUGAGGCCCUUGCCCAGGCUGGGGAGGGGCAAGCAGCAGUGGCCUGAUUCUGGUCUUCCUCCCCAUGUCCCUACCAUGCCUGGGGCCAGCUCUCAGGAGGUAAGAACCCCUCCUCUGCCAGCUAAAGGCUGGAUUUCAACCCCAUGUCACGUUGGCUGAAGGCUGGAUUCGAUGGAGGUGAAGCCUCUGCAGGUAAGGUGGUUACAGUCCACCUGAUGAGGGGCCAGAGGGAGCUUUGGAUGAGAGACCCCAUGGGGAACCAAAGGCAUGGGGCCCCAGCUGGGAUGGGGAAGCUAGGUGUGUCUCAGGCAGAUACACAACCCUGGUGGCCCAGCCUCAGUGCCCUCUCCACAGCCCUGGAUCAGUACCCAAGAUCUCCUGCCCCCCAGAACCUCCUCACAGGCUCCCCAUUUCCCCCACUGAGCAUCCCAGGAGGGAGGAGACAGAUGACAAGGGUCUCUGGGCCCCCGUGCUCUCACCCUGCACCUCCGCCCUGCCCUUGGCGUUCCUUGGGUGUCAACCAGGAAGGGCUACGCUUAGGCAAUUGACGUGUGUUAUCUGGACAGGGUCAACAGGCCCCUCGGCUUCUUAUCUCCAGCUUGCCAAGACCAGGAGGGAAGCAAACAGCAGCUGACAAGUCUCCCAAGAGUGCAGCCAAGGGCGGGGGGCCCAAGCAGGAGACAGAGUGGCCCGAGUGGCAUGGAGAUGGGCUCUGCCACUCACCUGGAGGAGCAAGGGUUGGGGAGAUGGUCUCUGGCCGAAGCAAUCCCCAGGGGCUUCCGGGAGGAGGCUGCCCUCGCACUGGGCUUCAAAGAAUGUGUAGGAUUUAGAAGCAUAGAGGGCACGGCAGGCAGGGAACCUGACUUAAGCCAAGGAAAAGAGGUGGGAAAGUGGCGGUGGUGGUUAGAUGCACCAGAUGUUUACUGGCAGGGGUCUAGUUCAUCCGUGUGACUGGGAGUAAGUGUCCUGCUGCUGUGUGCCUUGCUUUCCUCCUUUGCAAAAACAAAGUUAGUGAUAGUAUCUGCCACGUUGGUUAUUGCGGCUUAAAUAAAAUGACUUCUCAGGCCCAUAGCACAGAGUAGGUGCUCAGUACAAGGAUAAAUACUAGUUCCUCCACACUCCUCAUUGUUGGGGAGGAAUGCUCAGGGGAUGGCAAGAACUAGAAAUUAUGGAAAGACUACCAGUGUCGGGUCCAGAGUAAUAAUCUGCAAACAACCCAUUUUACAGAUUAGAAAGCUGAGGCACUGGACGGGAGCAUCACAGGCUGGUGAGUAGGAAUAGAGCUUAGACUCAAGCCUGCCUGUUGCCACUCUGGUUUUCUCAGUGCCUAUUCCAGGACUCACACAAUAUGACUCCAGGGAAAUAGGGCUGGGUCCUGGAGGCUUCUGGAGGGGCCGUCCUGGCAAUUGACGGUGAUGUCUGGGGUCCAAGAGGGCACAGAACUGACAUGUGGGAGAAGCCGAGGGAGGCCACUGCCGCUCUCAAAUCCUCCUAUUGAGAAAAGGCAGGAAUAGCUUGGGCAAAGGAAAUGAGGUGGGAAGCAGCAAGUGGUUCUCCUCCAGCACAGAGGAGCAGCCUGAGGCCCAGAGAGGGGAAGGCACUUGCCCAAGGUCACACAGCCUUCCUCAGGCAGCCCCUCUGUGGGUCCCAUGGGCUGUGACACAGGGUGGACCCCACACUCUCUGAGCCUUGUUUCCUGCAGCUCUCUGAGGGACUGCAUAGGGCUCCCCCAUGCCAAGACCUUGUGGGUCCAUCCAUCUCUGGGGCUUCAACAACCCCCAGCUGGAGUUAAAGUAAAGGAAGACCCAGGGGCGUCUCACCUGCUUUGAGCCAGGCUUCCCCAUUGGAGACACUUUGCUGCCCCCUGGUGGUGAAAAAGAAUUCUAAUUUUUCACUUGGUUUCCAAAGAGAUCUUUCAAAGGAGCAGCAGGUGCCCAAUUCCAGGACCAGUACCCACUAUCAUUUUGACCCUAAGGUGUGUCCAGACCGACCUGGGAUUCCACCUCUCCUCCAAUGUCCUACCACACAGAGAAGGUGAAGGUCCAAGAAAUACAGAGUCAUGUUGGAAACCAGUAUUUGAAACUGGCUGGGUUUCAUUCCAGCUUUUGUGACCUUGAGAAAGUUAUCUGACUUACUAGUGUCUCAGUUUCCCCAUCUGUAGAACAGGGAUUAUAAUAAUAGCUUCUGCUUAAUAGUGCCUUUGGGAACAUUAAAGAGGUCAAUGAAUAGAAACUUCUUAGAAGCAUUGCUGGCACAUGGCAAUACUUGAUAAAAUUGGCAAUAUUGGAGUUCCCGUCGUGGCGCAGUGGUUAAUGAAUCCGACUAGGAACCAUGAGGUUGCGGGUUCGGUCCCUGCCCUUACUCAGUGGGUUAACGAUCAGGCAUUGCCGUGAGCUGUGGUGUAGAUUGCAGACGCGGCUCGGAUCCCGCGUUGCUGUGGCUCUGGCGUAGGCCAGUGGCUACAGCUCCAAUUCAACCCCUAGCCUGGGAACCUCCAUAUCCCGCGGGAGCGGCCCAAAGAAA